rnacentral:lncRNA from 1 species
GGGAGAGGGAGGUCAGGCUGCAGAGGGCUUCCUGGGGAAUUUCCUUUUGCUAAUAAGCAGUAAUGGAGAGCCACCGUGGAUUGGUGAGUAGAGAAAACAGUGUUUAAUGAAGACAAUUCCAGCAGCUGUGUGGAGGGUGGAGGAGAGGAGGCGAGGUCCAGGCGGGGGAUGCCAGCUAGAGUCCUGCACUAAGCAGUAGCCAUGGAAAUGGAAAAUGAGGAUCCAAGGAAACCAUGCGGAGGGAGAACCGGCUGACAUUGGCAUGGAGUGGAAGUGGGGGAUUUUGGAGAGGGGGCCAGUGGAAACUGGUGCCAGGACAGUGUGCCACUGGCAACCAUAGAAAUGUGUUGGCGAAGAGAUGCUGAUUGAAUGAAGGGAGAAGGGAGAGGAACAGUGGGUUUCUUUCUUUUUUUCUUUUUCUUUUUUUUUUUUUUUUGGUCUUCACCAUUUCCAAUAUUGGGAGAACAUGCCAGGAGAGAUUUUUCUAUCCACCACUGGAGAUAUUAUUAUUCAGGAUGAUGGAACUGUAGAUUGCAGAAUGAUCAAAACCAGUUUGUAACUGAAACCAGGUGAGAAAAUGAGCAUUCAAGGGAGUGGAGGACGGAGAAAAAACAGAAUGGACGCUUGAUUGAGGCUUGAGAAAAUGGUGGCAUAAGUGGAGCCGAGCUUUUCAGCCUCAGCAAUGCUGACAUUUUGCGAUGCCUCAUUCUUCAUUUUCAAGGGCUGUCUCAUGCAUCCUAGGAUGCUGAGCAGCAUCCCAGGCCUCUACCCCUGCUCCCCACUCAUGACAAUGAAAACUGUCUGCAGACAUUGGCAAAUGUCCUUUGAGAGGAAAAACAGCCCCCAGUAGAGACCCAUGGGUUAGAGGUAAUAUUGAUAUUUAUUAGACAUUUAUAAUAUGCCAGGUACUGUUCUAAGUCCUCUAUAGGUAUUAAUGUAUUUAAUUCUCAAAACUAUAUUUUUAAUCACUGUAUUACUAUUAUUCUCCAUUAUUCCCAAAUAAGGAAACCAAGACUCAGGAGUGAUGUAAUUUUUCAAAGUUUCCACCACUAAAACGUGGCAGCUUCAGGCAGUUUGACUCCAAGGCCCAUGUUUUUUUACCAAAAGGCUCUACUGCCUUUUUGUGGCAAGAGGAUUCAUAUGCAAAAGCACUUUGAAGACACCACAGGGGGACUGCGGAGAGGGUACUGGGGGCAUGGAGGAGACCCCAAAGCAUCAGGCCUAAGGCACUAAAAGAAGGCUCAUACUACCUAAGAAACAGGGACCCCAGAGAGAGGGGCUGGGGGAAGACAAUGAAUUUUGUUUUGGAUCAGUAAAGGUUUUAGGGUGACCACACUGAAAGCAGCAGUGAAGAAGCAGAGAAAACAGAACUUCCUGAUGUCAGGGAAGACAGGAAGUAUUGUGUGACAGCAAAGUCCGUAAUGAAGAGACGGAUUGGGUCAGGACAAAGGCAGUUGUAGCUGUAAAGAACAAAACAAAGUCCCCUCUGAAGCAUCCAGCAAACAAAAGAUAGACAUGAGUGUUUAUACUGGAAAGAGAAUGAUUAUGGACCUUUACAUCAAAGAAUGAUGAUUUCUCAGCAAAGUGUGAUGACACCAUCAACUGAGACCAGGACUAUGGAGGAGAGAAUGCUCAGAGAGCCCAUGUUUUGAGAGUGGGGUGGGUGCUUGUGAACAAAGGCUGGUCAUGCCGUCAUUCGUGAUGAUGGGCUCUGGAAGAAAGGAUUCUGACGACUUUUUUUUUUUUUAUCUGCCCUUAGUAGUGUGAGUGACAGAACACUAAAAGCAGAUAUGCCUGCAAGUGGGUGGGUCAGUACUGGAGAAGCUGAAUUCCAGUUCGAGGAAACAGAGUGGCAGGGGAGGGAAGGAAGGGAAGCAACAAGGAAUUCUAAGCCCAGGAGAAGGAAGCAUUAGAGAAUUCCACACUGAGAGGUAAGGUCAGUGAUGUAAGUGAAGUGGAGGAAGCAAAGCCUGAAGUCACAAGGAGAGAGGAUCCAGAUCUUAUGGGAGGGGUGAGAGAGAUACCAUAGGGAAGAAAUGCUGCUGGACACCUGGACAAAGAGGCAAUGUGGAAGAAUUGGAGGGCACAUUUUUGCCGGCAGGAGUGAGACAAAGAGAUGUACACCAAGCAAAUAUCUGCCCGGCAGAGGACUGGAUUAUCACAGUGACCGUAACACCCAAGCAAGCCUUGGAGGCUGGCAGGCGGGCGGGCGGGCUGACCUCCACAAAGAAGUCACAAAAACUCCCUGGAGUCCAGACAGAACUUCCCAGGGGGGCAGAGCAGCUGUCGCUUUCUGAUUCUCCCCCAGAAGAGUGCCAAAAUUGCUGCCACCUCGUCGUCCGCUAGGCAAGGAAGGAGGAAGGGUGAUAGGCACUGUCCCUCCCUGGGGAAUGCAGUUAGACAGACCCUCUGUCUCCCCCUGGCUGUCAGAGAAGGCAGACCUCCUUUCAGCCCCUCACCCGCCACCUCUUCCUUUUACCCUGUUUUUCUCAUCCUUCCUCUUCCUUUAUUCUCUCCCUCCCUAGUUUUUCCCUCCUUAACACACAGGUGGAGAAAAAGCAGAGAAGCUGAUGGAAGUUCAGGUCCUGGCUAUGGCACUUUCUUCUUUUUCAUCAGUGUCACCCUCUCUUUUUAAAAAAUUUCCCUCUUUCCUUGCUCCUGCCAUUCUCUCUAAUAACCCGAGGCUCCCAGCCCCCAGGUCUCUCUGGAUCGCCCCCUUGGACACACCUAAUUUCUGGGCUUAUUCUGUAACACUCCCAAUUUCCUGAGGCUCUCCUAGGCACUCGGUUUCAUACACUUUACUCCAUCUCCCUCAUCAGCAGAAAUGAACGCACCCAGCUUCUGCAAUUCUCCGCGGCAUGACAGCUGUAGUGGAGGGUCGUUGAGGCACAGGCUGGGGUAGGCAUUUAUGUAAGAAAAACAAAAGAAGAUGGAGAAGGCCAGCAAGGACCAUCCCUUUUGCUUUUUCCUACCGUACUGAGAAAUCGGCAGCGUUACUCACAGGAUAUGGACAAGAGAGGCAGAGAGCUCAGUUCCAGGCGCUUUACAUACUUCACCUCAUCUAACCUUCACAUAACCUGCGUUUUACAGCAGAGGAAAAGCUGGCAGUCAAAAGUUGAAAUGCCCUACCCAAAGUCACUCGGUGGCAAUUCCAGGAUUCUGAACUCAAGUCCCUUUGACAUCAAAGACCCAGCUUUUGACUCCCAUGGGCUGCCUCUCUGGGGAGUGGCACUAGGGCUCCCAUCUUUACUUCUAGAUGUUGAAUAUUCAAGAUCUAGGCUUGCCUUGGUGUAAAAGCCACAGCAGUACCAGCCCAGGAUCCUGAGGGUGCCAGGACUCAGCUGUCCUUGUAAGGCACUGCUUGGCACCCAGGACAAAAUAGAGACAAAUCUCCCAUGGUGGGAAAGGUAAAGAGAGAAUCCACUGAAUAUCAACUUUGAGAGGGGAGGAGAACCUUACGAGAAAUUUUAAGAAAUCUUCACCCUGGGGUCCUGAUGGAGACUUAAUCUCUGGCUGUGGCUAGAAUUUGUUCUCAGGGCCUUAGACAAGAGUCAGAGUCCAUUAGGGUGGACUGGGAGGUGGCUAACAUAGUAGACAAUUAUAAAGAAAGCUAGUAUUCCUCUAUUCCAAUAUUAUCUGAAUCACAUUCAUCCCUUCCUAAGUACUUGCAUCCCCUAUCCCUGGGCGGUCACGUUGGCUCACCCGUGUCUGGGCCAGAUAGCUGGGCUCCUACAUUACUUGAUUUCUGCCACCUUAAAGACACCAUCAAUUCUGCCUUCUUCUCUAGACAUUUUUGCCCAAAUCUCAGCUCCUGGUUUGUGUGAGCUCUUGGAGGAUAGGCAUUAAAUUUGAUUCCACAGCAAAGAGGCCCUGCCCUUGGCCACAAACCUUCAUAAACAUCCUAUAAAUGAAUCCAUGCGGUGGGUUAAACUUGAAAGACAAAAAAGUCAGGAUUGCAAGGAAAAGCUGUUCUCCAAAGUCUUCACCUUCUAGAGACAAGUAACCAGAGGAAUAUUUGCCAGGGUGUGCCCUGGACACAUAGUCCAGAGCAAGGGCUCUUAACCUGCCAUUCAUAGAUGGGCUUCAGGGAUGCUAAGUCCCCUAAUAAAUACUUCAUGUGGAAUUUGAGGCAUUGGCACAAAAGUAGAUUUUUCAGGGAAGAGGAUCCAGAACAUUCAUUUUGGGAAUUGCUGCUUCAAUGUGUGGAAUAAAGGUCAGGGUAGAAGUGGGAAGGCAGCAAAGAUGAAGCGGGUUUGGGGGUCAAGGAGGGCAGCAUGGACUUCACAGGCUGUAAGCCAGGCUGUUUGUGACGGCAGCGGUGCAAAGCUGACUCGCAGAACACCUCAUUCCUCAGCAGGAGCUCAGCCUUCUUUGUUCAGACCUGAGAAGCAGGCACAAUACUUAACUGUUCCCACCUUUGUUGAGAAUGUUAAUAUAGGUUGGGUCCAAGCUCCCCCAGGUGAGAACCACAUAGCAUCUUUGGCAUUGCCCUAGCUGGCAGCCACUGCCGUCACUCCAUUUUGACCACCAUCUAUUUAACCCACCCCAUUUUCCCUGUUUAGAAAGUAGAAUCUCAGGAUAAGCCAGAUCUUAAACUUUUCUUACUUUUCCUUAAUUACAUAUAUCAGUUCCUGCAGCCUGCCAAGCCUGAAAUCCUCACAGAGCCCCAGAUCUAAUAGGAUUUGUUCUUUAAAAAGUCAUUUUGAGGGUUCCUAGCCCUGGUCUCUUUAAGGUAACUGAAAGGUUUGAUAUUUUUUGCAACCUAGUAUUUAUGCUUAUGAGUUUGUAAUUUCUAGCCAUCAUCUCUUUUUUCAAAGAAGGUUAUACACUGGCUCUCAGAGAUCUUUCCAGUCCUCUGUGAUUUUCCCAAAUGGCAGCCUUUGGCCCUGCACUGGCCACUUCUUUGUUAAAGACAUUUUAGAAUCUGUCAUGAAGACCUGGGGUUAUUUAUCAUAUUCUCCUUAAUUAAUGUUUUAAAAUCCUCUCCAAUUUUAUGUUGGUCUUGUGUUCCCUAACUCAUGCUAGAAUCCAGAUUACACACCACACACACACACACACACACACGUGUGUGUGAUUGUAUGUUAGUUACCAGUUCCCAAUUAUAUUUCUAAGAAAUUAAAGAUAUACUUCUUGUUCUUAUGAAGAUGGCUUUUACUGCUUUCCCUUUAAUUUCUCAUAUAACUAAAGUUUUUCAUUUUUUAUUUCCUAAUCAUCUUUUCUAAAUAUAAAAAUGAUAUGCUUUAUUGUGGAAAUUUUGGAAAGUAAAGAUAGAGAGGUAAAAUGGUAAUAAUUGCAUCGCUCCUAAAGUCUUAAAUCUUUUGCAUGAUAUGUCAAUCUUUCUUCUCAGAUUUCACAACUUUUACCAUUUCUGAAGAUGCCUACCUUCCCACUGAAGUGGCUUUCUUUUUAGAAUAAGACCUUUGUUUAUCCGAGCAGGAUCCCUCCAGACUUUCUCAUCUAGGAGAGCAAGCUGAUCUCCUAAACUAUCUCAAGGCACCUGCAGAGGAGAAAGAGCCCCGGACAUGAGAUUCAGAAAAGCUGGGCUUGAAUUCUAGGUUUUUCUUCCUCUUGACGGCAUAAUUUUGGGCAAUCAUUAGAGCACUUUAUAUCACUAGAGUACUUUGUACCUCAAUUUCCUCACCUUUAAAAUAGGGUUAAUAGUUCAUGCCCAGAAUUCCUCCUGGUGAGUUCUUGGGAAGACCAAAUAAUGUAUGAGGAAGACAGUAUAUAUGAGAAAGCUAUUGACACACUAUCAAGCUUUAGAAAUGUAAGUGAUCAAUAUUAUUACAUCCAAUUUGGUUUGUCUUUGCCUCCGUUGUCUUCCUUCAUUGAAAACCUUCCUUUUCUUUCUCAAGUUUUGGCUUGUUUUAGUUUUCCUUACAGUUUUUCAUGUGUGAUCAGUUCAUGGUGACUUUGUCCUAGGCUCACUUGAAACUUUAAAUCCUCAAUUAAUUGGUUUCCAUUUGUAUCUUCUGCAUUUUUGUACUAAAAAUUCAUGUUCUCUAAAUAUUCUAGAAACAUGGCACCUCGUGGCCAGAUUGUCUUUUCUUGCCAGAUGUAAUUUGAUGAGAUACUCAAAGAAGUCAGACUUGAUCUGGAAGCUUCUAAUUCAGAAAUGACUGCUGGCCCUCUACAUGGGACAACUAAGCAUCACACUGCACCACCCAAACUAG